rnacentral:rRNA from 1 species
UACGUAGGGUGCAAGCGUUAAUCGGAAUUAUUGGGCGUAAAGAGCUUGUAGGCGGUUUGUCGCGUCUGCUGUGAAAUCUCAAGGCUCAACCUUGAGCUUGCAGUGGGUACGGGCAGACUAGAGUGUGGCAGAGGGAGGUGGAAUUCCACGUGUAGCAGUGAAAUGCGUAGAGAUGUGGAGGAACACCGAUGGCGAAGGCAGCCUCCUGGGCCAGCACUGACGCUCAUGCACGAAAGCGUGGGGAGCAAACAGG